UACGUAGGGUGCAAGCGUUGUCCGGAAUUAUUGGGCGUAAAGAGCUCGUAGGCGGUUUGUUGCGUCGGCUGUGAAAACCUGAGGCUCAACCUCAGGCCUGCAGUCGAUACGAGCAGACUAGAGUGUUGUAGGGGAGACUGGAAUUCCUGGUGUAGCGGUGAAAUGCGCAGAUAUCAGGAGGAACACCGAUGGCGAAGGCAGGUCUCUGGGCAUUAACUGACGCUGAGGAGCGAAAGCAUGGGGAGCGAACAGG
rnacentral:rRNA from 1 species